UGCAAUAACGCAUGCAAUUAAUAACUACAAUAACAUAGUAUUGUCUCUCGAACUUUCUCUGCUUUGAAGUCGGGCUGUCCUGUUGCCAGUAUGUCUAGAAGGGGAUUAGCUUUUGUUGUUUGCAUUUUUUACACCAACCCGAACAGCUAUUAGCCGUUUUCACACCGAUAUCUCGCCGACACGACAUACAGACAGGAUUUACUCUGAUGGACAGUAUAAGAGGAGGCUGCGGUUUAUAACUGUGCGAGGUCUACUGUUCACAGAACUACUAGUAAAUAAAUCACAAAAUUGUUGAAAUAAGUACUUUUUUAUUUGCAAUUGAUCAAUUCAGUGCUGGUAUUUUCUACUAGGUAAUUUACUUGUAUUUUUCCAUUCAAAUUCAUAUUCAAAUUUUAAUGUAAGAAUGUUUCUUUAAAAAAAAUCCUGAAUUCUAUCACCAUUUUUAUUAGGUAUGUUAAUUCUCCACACUUAAAAUCUUGAUAUUAAAUUGCAAUAAUUGAAGAAUUAUUGAUUUUAGAAUUUGAAAAUUGAAGGACUAGAAUUUAGCUUAUUAUUUAUAAUAAUAUUAUGAAGGAAGGAAUUGACUCAUACUUAUAUGAGAUAGGUAGUGAUAGUCGAAAACAUCAAUGAUUGGUCAACUUUCACAACGUAGAAUGAUAUUUACAAAAAUUGGUUUGCUCAGACAGCCUACGUUUAAAAGCGCUUCAUAAGUUUUAUUUUGUGGCAGUGGCAACACUGCUUCUUUUCGUACCAAAAUGGCUGUGUAACAGUGGCAGUGGUGUAACUGUCAGUCAACAACUCCGAUGGUGAAGUUCGUCGUGUUUCUAAUCUAAUAAUUACUUUGUAGUUUUGUUAACCCGGUUUUUUCCACUAGGAAUUAUUAGUUUCGUGUGUUGAUUUAUUAAUUUGAAGUCGUGAUAUUUUGGUGAAAAUAUGUGUUUGUGAUUGUAUGAGAAUACACGAUUAUGGCGUGAACCAGUGAUACCCUACGUAGAUUCAUUCCAUUACGUCUAUGAAUUUAAACAGUAAUCAAUUAUAAAGUGCAUUCAAAUCUCAUGUGAACUCGGAAUCCCAAAGUUGAAUAAUGGUACCUUAGGAAUAAGAAGGCAACCACAUCGAAUCAAUUAUUGGAAACCUUCAAAGUGGGUAAAUAUAUGAGAACUUGUCAACUCACAACAUUAAGUUAUCCGGUAAGUCAAACGUUUUCAAUUAUUCACUCUUUUGUGAAUUUGUGAACUUCUUUAUCUUGUUUGGAAUUUUUUAUAUGAAUUCUGAUUGGAUAUAAAAGGAAUAAAGUCAGCCAUCUUAUAGUUAUGCCAUCUUAGUUAUAUUAUUGGAUAUAAAAGGAAUCAAGUCAGCCAUCUUAUAGUUAUGCCCCAAUAGUUUAAAGCCAUUCAUGGCCGGUUUCCAAGCUCGGGAUUCAGGUAAGUUCUAGACUUUGAGGCUGUGCAAAGGCUAAAAAUGAACUCUCUACUGGAGAUAUUUUUCAAAGUUUUUCGAUUUGUAUAAUAUCAUGAACUAUCAAAAUGAUGGAGGUUUCACAGGAAAAAAAUUUUUCCUGAUCAUUACUUUUUUAGAUACAAGCGCCUAAAGUUUAAAAUUUUGGGACAGAACUUUUCAAGUUCGGUAAGAGAUAGGCUAAAUCCAUGAGACUUAAGGAUAGAUUCUUCAUGGUAUUGUUGAUCUAGUAAAUUAAAAAUUUUCUGAAAAUUUUGAUUUUUGAGAAAGUUAUUCAAUUUACCAAAAAUAACUCAAUAAAUAGUUGUUUGUAUAUCUAGAGUGAAAAGUACGACUUUUUCUCCCUGUGGGAAAAGUUUGAAGCCCGAGGCGAAGCCGAGGGCAACAAUUUUCCUGAGGGAGAAAAAUUAUUUUUCACUCGUGAUGUACACAACAUUUUUCCUCCAUCUACAUUUUUUUAUAGAAACUGCCAAAUGAAAUCAUUUUAAUAACUUACGUAUUGAUGAGAAUGUUUCCUAACAACAUAACCUAAAAUCUAAAACCUAAAAACCGGUCGUCUGAUUGGCACUGCCGAUUGCGCUAUCUAUCGGCCAAAGUUGUAACAAUUAUAUCAGCUGGGUGUCUACCAAAAAUGGCUGACUCCAUCUCGCGGCUCAGAUUUGAAUUGCAGAUCAAAAAUAUUUGUUGGCUGGUAUUUUGAAUAGAAUAAAAUAUUUUAAAAAUUUUAUAAAUUUUUAUCAUCUACUAAUAUUAAGAAUAUAAUAUCAUACAAACAUUUAUAUUUCAUGAGUUGAUCAAAUUUCUGGUUGUGGUAUUGAAUUCAGUUGACUCAAUGACAGACACCUCUUUAUGCUUUCUCAUCUGAGCUUAGACUUUCUAACCUAUUACAAUGUAAGUUUUUAAAAUAGAGAUGCUUCCCAUGUUAUUUAAAUGGAGUCACUUUUCCUCCCUAGGGAGUUUUUCUGUUUUUUACUACCGAGAGCGAAAAAGUGACACUUUAGUAUCAUGUUUCAGGGAGUAAAGUAAGUACUUUAGACAGUAGGUGGAGGAAAAAGUCAUUUUUGGUCAUUUUGAGAAAAAUUGAAUAACUUUCUCAAAAAUUGAUAUUUUCAGAAAAUUUUUGUUUUAUUAAAUCAACAAUACCAUUAAGAAUCUAUCCUCUAAAUCUCAUGGAUUUGUGUCUUACCGAACUUGAAAUGUUCUGUCCCAAAAAUUUAAACUUUAGGCGCUCGUAUCUCAAAAAUAAUGAUCGGAAAAAAUGUUUUCCUGAGAAACCUCCUUCAUUUUGAUAGCUUCAUGAUAUACAAAUCGAAAACUUUGAAAAAUAUCACUAGUAGAAAGUUCAUUUUUAGCCUUUGCACAGCCUUAAACAGCUGGAGUCAGAAAAUUGGCUUGCCGAAAUGGGGCAUAGUCGCAGUAAAACGACUAACAAUUUUUAAAUUGAAUUUCGAAAAACUUGAAAAUUGAACACAAGAUAAAAUAAUGAGAAAAUAGUGUAAAGUUUGAGCUAUUUUGAAUUAUUUAGGAAUGUUUCAUUUUGGAAAACGUUGCCUAUUAUAGAAAUGAGAAAAUAAAGAUUUAUUUUGCUGCAACUUUUUACUGCUACUAUGCCCUGUUUCGGAAAGCCAAUUUUCUGAUUCCAGUUGUUUAAAGUCUAGAACUUAUCUAAAUCCCGAGCUUGGAAACCGGCCCUUUAACCAUCCGUUUCUGUUCAGCAUACCGAUUAGUGGUUUAAACGGCCGUCAAGUUUAAACACGUUUACUCUAGACGCAGUUCAAACCUAGCAUUUGCAUACGGACCUAAAUAUGGAAUCAGCAUACAGAUCCACGGUUUUAGAGUGUAAACCAUUGAUGGGUCAAACGCAGUUCAAAUCAAACAUCUGCAUACCGGCCCAAGAAACAGAUAUAAGCAUAACGUCAUUUGAUAGAAAGCGUACGGCGUGUGUUUGUGGCAAAGCCGUUACACAGCUUUAGACUAUUUUGGUAUUUGAGACUAUCAGCUUGGAUUUGAUUUUUUUAAUUAAUUGACGAAGCGAAGUGAGGUCUAAGAUUCAAGUCGACGGUUUGGCAUUUCUCUUAAUGUUUAAAUGUUUGAAUGUUUAAAUGUUGCGCAUUUACGGCGAAACGCGGUAAUAGAUUUUCAUGAAAUUUGAUAGGUAUGCUAAUUUUUUAAUUGCGCGUCGACGUAUAUACAAUGUUUUUGGAAAUUUUGCAUUUCAAGGAUAAUAUAAAAGGAAAAAGGAGCCUCCUUCAUACGCCAAUAUUAGAGUAAAAAUCAGACUAUAGAAUUAUUCAUUGACCGAGCGAAGUGAGGUCUAAGAUUCAAGUCGACGGUUUGGCAUUUCUCUUAAUGUUUAAAUGUUUAUAUGUUGCGCAUUUACGGCGAAACGCGGUAAUAGAUUUUCAUGAAAUUUGACAGGUAUGCUACUUUUUUAAUUGCGCGUCGACGUAUAUACAAGGUUAUUGGAAAUUUUGCAUUACAAGGAUAAUAUAAAAGGAAAAGGAGCCUCCUUCAUAUGCCAAUAUUAGAGUAAAUCAACAGAAAAUAUUUUGAUCUAGUUUAGGUAAACCUGAGCUUGCUAUGCUAUACACAUCUAAAAAUCUGCGACUAUUGGAUAUAUUUUCUACUUGUAUAAAAAUUGAAAGUAACUGUGUUUCAUUUUCAUGAAACUUUAAUGCAUAAUUUCUGUAUUUGGAUCAUAGAAACCGUCACUAGGUGACAUGAUGCAUCUUAUAUGCUACACUAUUAAAACUUUGUAUUAUCAAUUUUGUAAAUGCAGUAUUUUUGUAAAGACUUGCCUAUCAAUUUUACUUGUAAAAUAUGCUUCUUAUCCAGCUAUCAUUCUAUGAGAUUAUUUAAUUUCUGUAUCUACAAAAUAUUAUAGAAAGUCACUAGGUGACAUGCAUCUUCUGUCCUACACUAUUAGAACUUUGUGUUGUUAAUUUUGUAAAGGCAGUAUUUUUGUAAUGACUUGCCUAUCAAUUUUACUUGUUAAAGAUGCUUCUUAUCCACCUAUAAUUGUAUGAGAUAAUUGAAUUGCUUGAUGCAAGAAGGGUAUAAGUCCAUAGUUGUUUAGUUGCACUCUCAUAUUAAAAAAAUAGCUAUAAUCUGAAAUGAAUUUUCUUCUAAAUUUUAUAAAUAAAAUAUGCAAUUAUGGCAAAAAAUUCUCCAAUUAUUACUACAGUACUUUGUAGUCAAACAUAUUUAAAAUUUGAGAUACAUACAGAAAUAAUUAGAAUAGAAUAAUUUUGGUAAUUGAAAAAAAAUGGUCUAAUGCCCCUUUUGCAUGGAGAAAUUCAACUAGCAUCUUUCAGCAAUUUUAACUAGAUUCAAUUAUUGAUGUGAGAUGAAAAAAAAGAAAAAAUUAUUCAAAAAAAGUAAAAAAUAUAAAAAAGUAUUGAAAAAGAAAAAAUUAUUCAAAAAAA